rnacentral:rRNA from 1 species
CAGGCUUAACACAUGCAAGUCGAGGGGCAGCGGGGGUAGCAAUACCCGCCGGCGACCGGCGCACGGGUGAGUAACGCGUAUGCAACUUACCUAUCAGAGGGGGAUAACCCGGCGAAAGUCGGACUAAUACCGCAUGAAGCAGGGGCCCCGCAUGGGGAUAUUUGCUAAAGAUUCAUCGCUGAUAGAUAGGCAUGCGUUCCAUUAGGCAGUUGGCGGGGUAACGGCCCACCAAACCGACGAUGGAUAGGGGUUCUGAGAGGAAGGUCCUCCACAUUGGUACUGAGACACGGACCAAACUCCUACGGGAGGCAGCAGUGAGGAAUAUUGGUCAAUGGCCGAGAGGCUGAACCAGCCAAGUCGCGUGAGGGAUGAAGGUUCUAUGGAUCGUAAACCUCUUUUAUAACGGAAUAAAGUGCGGGACGUGUCCCGUUUUGUAUGUACCUUAUGAAUAAGGAUCGGCUAACUCCGUGCCACCAGCCGCGGUAAUACGGAGGAUCCGAGCGUUAUCCGGAUUUAUUGGGUUUAAAGGGUGCGUAGGCGGCCUUUUAAGUCAGCGGUGAAAGUCUGUGGCUCAACCAUAGAAUUGCCGUUGAAACUGGGGGGCUUGAGUAUGUUUGAGGCAGGCGGAAUGCGUGGUGUAGCGGUGAAAUGCAUAGAUAUCACGCAGAACCCCGAUUGCGAAGGCAGCCCGCCAAGCCAUUACUGACGCUGAUGCACGAAAGCGUGGGGAUCAAACAGGAUUAGAUACCCUGGUAGUCCACGCAGUAAACGAUGAUCACUAGCUGUUUGCGAUACACUGUAAGCGGCACAGCGAAAGCGUUAAGUGAUCCACCUGGGGAGUACGCCGGCAACGGUGAAACUCAAAGGAAUUGACGGGGACCCGCACAAGCGGAGGAACAUGUGGUUUAAUUCGAUGAUACGCGAGGAACCUUACCCGGGUUUGAACGCAUUCGGACCGAGGUGGAAACACCUUUUCUAGCAAUAGCCGUUUGCGAGGUGCUGCAUGGUUGUCGACAGCUCGUGCCGUGAGGUGUCGGCUUAAGUGCCAUAACGAGCGCAACCCUUGCCACUAGUUACUAACAGGUGAUGCUGAGGACUCUGGUGGGACUGCCAGCGUAAGCUGCGAGGAAGGCGGGGAUGACGUCAAAUCAGCACGGCCCUUACAUCCGGGGCGACACACGUGUUACAAUGGCGUGGACAAAGGGAGGCCACCUGGCGACAGGGAGCGAAUCCCCAAACCACGUCUCAGUUCGGAUCGGAGUCUGCAACCCGACUCCGUGAAGCUGGAUUCGCUAGUAAUCGCGCAUCAGCCAUGGCGCGGUGAAUACGUUCCCGGGCCUUGUACACACCGCCCGUCAAGCCAUGGGAGCCGGGGGUACCUGAAGUCCGUAACCGAAAGGAUCGGCCUAGGGUAAAACUGGUGACUGG